rnacentral:pre_miRNA from 1 species
GAAAAUUAAAAAAAUGUUUCUUAACUUUUAACUAAAAAAAUUAAGAACCGGUUCUUAAAGUCCUUAUUUAAGAACCAGUUCUUAGCUUUUUUAGUUAAAAAUUAAGAAACAGUUUCUUAACUUCC